GCGUCCAUAGCUCAACUGGAUAGAGCAACGCACUUCUAAUGCGUAGGUUGCAGGUUCAAGUCCUGCUGGACGUGCCA
rnacentral:tRNA from 3 species